rnacentral:rRNA from 1 species
AACGCGAAGAACCUUACCUGGGCUUGAACCGCACAGGACCCUCCCUAGAAAUAGGGACUUCCCGCAAGGGACCUGUGUAGAGGUGCUGCAUGGCUGUCGUCAGCUCGUGUCGUGAGAUGUUGGGUUAAGUCCCGCAACGAGCGCAACCCUUAUCCCUAGUUGCCAUCGGGUCAAGCCGGGCACUCUAGUGAAACCGCCCGGGAUAACCGGGAGGAAGGUGGGGAUGACGUCAAGUCCUCAUGGCCUUUAUGUCCAGGGCUACACACGUGCUACAAUGGUCGGUACAAACCGUCGCAAACCCGCGAGGGGGAGCUAAUCGGAAAAAGCCGGCCUCAGUUCGGAUUGGAGUCUGCAACCCGACUCCAUGAAGCUGGAAUCGCUAGUAAUCGCGGAUCAGAACGCCGCGGUGAAUACGUUCCCGGGCCUUGUACACACCGCUAGUC